rnacentral:rRNA from 1 species
CGGUAAUUCCAGCUCUCAAAAUGCAUAGAACCAUUGCUGCGGUUAAAAAGCUCGUAGUUGGAUCUGUGCCGGCGACGUGGUCCGCCCUAACCGGCGGUACUGCGCUCGUCGGCUUUGGGCCGGUCUUCGGUCGGUCGCCUUCACUGGCGGCCGCUCGUGGCUGGCUGGUUUACUUUGAGCAAAUCAGAGUGCUCAGCACAGGCGUCUCGCCGGAAUGUUCGUGCAUGGAAUAAUAGAAAAGGAUUUCGGUUCUCUUUUAUUGGUUUUGUGAACUGAGAUAAUGGUUAACAGAGACGGACGGGGGCAUUCGUAUUGCUGCGUGAGAGGUGAAAUUCUUGGACCGCAGCAGGACGGACUACAGCGAAAGCAUUUGCCAAGCACGUCUUCAUUAAUCAAGAACGAAAGUCAGAGGUUCGAAGGCGAUCAGAUACCGCCCUAGUUCUGACCGUAAACGAUGCCAACUAGCGAUCCGCCGGUGGUCUCAAGGCCCUGGUGGGGAGCUUCCCGGAAACGAAAGUCUUCCGGUUCCGGGGGAAGUAUGGUUGCAAAGCUGAAACUUAAAGGAAUUGACGGAAGGGCACCACCAGGAGUGGAGCCUGCGGCUUAAUUUGACUCAACACGGGAAAACUCACCCGGCCCGGACACCGUGAGGAUUGACAGAUUGAUAGCUUUUUCAUGAUUCGGUGGUUGGUGGUGCAUGGCCGUUCUUAGUUCGUGGAUCGAUUUGUCUGGUUUAUUCCGAUAACGAGCGAGACUCUAGCCUACUAACUAGUGGCGGCAUUGCCGCUGUGCUCGUCACUUCUUAGAGGGAUUGGCUGCGUCCAGCAGCACGAAAUUGAGCAAUAACAGGUCUGUGAUGCCCUUAGAUGUCCGGGGCUGCACGCGCGCUACACUGGCAAAGGCAGCGUGCUUGUCCGUCUCCGAAAGGAGCCGGUAAACCCUUGAAAAUUUGCCGUGAUUGGGAUCGGAAAUUGCAAUUAUUUUCCGUGAACGAGGAAUUCCAAGUAAGUGCGAGUCAUCAGCUCGCGUUGAUUACGUCCCUGCCCUUUGUACACACCGCCCGUCGCUGCCUAGAACUGAGCCAUUUCGAGAAUAUUCGGGAUCGCUGGCCGUCGCCUCUCGGGGUUUCGGCCGGCAAGAGAACGAACGUAAUCGCAGUGGCUUGAACCGGC